rnacentral:rRNA from 1 species
GUGGCGGAGGAACCGUCCGCCAAGCGUCAUCAUGCCGAGACGUCGGACAAGAGGAGCAACCUCGUCGACAUUAACGUCCCCGGCGAGAAGCGCGAGUACACAACAACCCUCAAAGGGGUUGAGCUCCACGGCAACGAGACGCUGGAGAUUGUCUGCACCAGCAUACCAGACAAGGCCGACGAGGUGAUCUCCAGGCUCUGGAUGAAGCUUGGCGGCAGGUUUCGUAGGAUCGUUGGCGUUGGUGUCCACUACACCAACGAAGAUGAACCUCCCCAGAUGGAAGCAGUCCUGCAGUUGUGCGUCGACGAACUCUGCUUGGUGUACCACAUCGCAGCGGCCACAAAAUGGUGA